rnacentral:rRNA from 1 species
CCUACGCGUGGCAGCAGUGAGGAAUAUUGGUCAAUGGGCGAGAUCCUGAACCAGCCAAGCCGCGUGAAGGAAGACGGCUCUAUGGGUUGUAAACUUCUUUUGUCCGAGAACAAAACCCGGGACGCGUCUCGGACUGCGAGUAUCCGAAGAAAAAGCAUCGGCUACCUCCGUUCCAGCAGCCGCGGUAAUACGGAGGAUGCAAGCGUUAUCCGGAUUUCUUGGGUUUAAAGGGUGCUUAGGCGGAUGUUUAAGUCAGCGGUCAAAUCCUGGGGCUCAACCCCGUCCAGCCGUUGAAACUGGGGAGCUAGAGUGUGCGGGAGGUAUGCGGAAUGCGUGGGGUAGCGGUGAAAUGCGUAGAUAUCACGCAGAACCCCGAUUGCGAAGGCAGCAUACCGGAGCACAACUGACGCUCAGGCACGAAGGCGUGGGUAUCGAACAGGAUUAGAUACCCGUGUAGUC